rnacentral:tRNA from 1 species
GAGACUAUGGCUCAGUGGUAGAGCACAUGCCUAGCAAGUGUGAGGCCCUGGGUUUGAUCCUCAGCAUCA